rnacentral:piRNA from 1 species
UGUUAUGGUGGUUGACUAGCCU